rnacentral:rRNA from 1 species
UACAGAGGUGGCGAGCGUUGUUCGGAUUUACUGGGCGUAAAGGGUGCGUAGGUGGUUUCAUGUGUCGGGCGUUAAAGCCCACUGCUCAACGGUGGAAUGCCGUCCGAAACUAUGAGACUAGAGUGCAGGAGAGGAGAGCGGAAUUCUUGGUGUAGCGGUGGAAUGCGUUGAUAUCAAGAAGAACACCAGUGGCGUAGGCGGCUCUCUGGAAUGUUACUGACACUGAGGCACGAAAGUUGGGGGAGCAAACAGGAUUAGAUACCCUGGUAGUCCCAACCCUAAACGGUGCACACUUGGUGUAGGAGGAAUUGACCCCUUCUGUGCCGGAGCUAACGCGUUAAGUGUGCCGCCUGGGGAGUACGGUCGCAAGAUUAAA